rnacentral:rRNA from 1 species
GACAGAGGUGCCGAGCGUUAGGCGGAAUCACUGGGCUUAAAGCGUGUGUAGGCGGAUGGGUAAGUACCUUGUGAAAUCCCACGGCUCAACCGUGGAACUGCUCGGUAUACUGCUCGUCUUGAGCCAACUAGGGGCGACCGGAACAAACGGUGGAGCGGUGAAAUGCGUAGAUAUCGUUUGGAACGCCGAUGGUGAAAACAGGUCGCUGGGGUUGUGCUGACACUGAGACACGAAAGCUAGGGGAGCAAGCGGG